CAGAGUCAAUGUGGAGGCUAUAUACAGGGGGUACCGGUACAGAGUCAAUGUGGAGGCUAUAUACAGGGGGUACCAGUACAGAGUCAAUGUGGAGGCUAUAUACAGGGGGUACCGGUACAGAGUCAAUGUGGAGGCUAUAUACAGGGGGUACCAGUACAGAGUCAAUGUGGAGGCUAUAUACAGGGGGUACCGGUACAGAGUCAAUGUGGAGGCUAUAUACAGGGGGUACCAGUACAGAGUCAAUGUGGAGGCUAUAUACAGGGGGUACCAGUACAGAGUCAAUGUGGAGGCUAUAUACAGGGGGUACCGGUACAGAGUCAAUGUGGAGGCUAUAUACAGGGGGUACCAGUACAGAGUCAAUGUGGAGGCUAUAUACAGGGGGUACCAGUACAGAGUCAAUGUGGAGGCUAUAUACAGGGUAUUACGGUACAGAGUCAAUGUGGAGGCUAUAUACAGGGGGUACCGGUACAGAGUCAAUGUGGAGGCUAUAUACAGGGGGUACCGGUACAGAGUCAAUGUGGAGGCUAUAUACAGGGGGUACCGGUACAGAGUCAAUGUGGAGGCUAUAUACAGGGUAUUACGGUACAGAGUCAAUGUGGAGGCUAUAUACAGGGGGUACCGGUACAGAGUCAAUGUGGAGGCUAUAUACAGGGGGUACAGGUACAGAGUCAAUGUGGAGGCUAUAUACAGGGUAUUACGGUACAGAGUCAAUGUGGAGGCUAUAUACAGGGGGUACCGGUACAGAGUCAAUGUG